CCUACGGGGGGCAGCAGUGAGGAAUAUUGGUCAAUGGGCUUACGCCUGAACCAGCCACGUCGCGUGAGGGAAGACUGCCCUAUGGGUUGUAAACCUCUUUUGUCAGGGAGCAACGCCGGCUAAGUGUAGCCGGACUGCAAGUACCUGAAGAAAAAGCAUCGGCUAACUCCGUGCCAGCAGCAGCGGUAAUACGGAGGAUGCGAGCGUUAUCCGGAUUUAGUGGGUUUAAAGGGUGCGUAGGCGGAAUGCCAAGUCAGCGGUAAAAUCGUGGGGUUCAACCUCGCGCCGCCGUUGAAACUGGUGUUCUUGAGUGGGCGAGAAGUAUGCGGAAUGCGUGGUGUAGCGGUGAAAUGCAUAGAUAUCACGCAGAACUCCGAUUGCGAAGGCAGCAUACUGGCGUCCAACUGACGCUGAAGCACGAAAGCGUGGGUAUCGAACAGGAUUAGAUACCCGUGUAGUC
rnacentral:rRNA from 1 species